UCCACGCCGUAAACGAUGCAGACUAGCUAUCAAAAGUAUCGACCCUUUUUGUAGCGAAGCUAACGCGUUAAGUCUGCCGCCUGGGAAGUACGGCCGCAAGGCUAAAACUCAAAGGAAUUGACGGGGACUCGCACAAGCGGUGGAGCAUGUGGUUUAAUUCGACGCUAAGCGAAGAACCUUACCAGGGCUUGACAUCUAGGAAAGGCGCCAGAAACGGCGCCGUGCCCGCAAGGG
rnacentral:rRNA from 1 species